AGCGGAGAAGAACUAACCAGGAUUCCCUUUAGUUCACCGGCGAAGUUGAACAGGGAAAAGCCAGCACCGAAGCCUGUGGUCGUUUGGCCUCUAGGCAAUGUUGGUGUUCAGGUUAGCUCGCGAAGAGGCUGCUCCACCCUAAGUCCUAUAAUGAGUAAGGUUACUCGGACAUGGCCCAAUGAGGGUGAAAGGCCCGUGGGGGUGGAGAUUCAGAAUGGCCAGUAUCUUCCUGAGCAGACCUUGGAGUCGGGUUGUUUGUGAAUGCAGCCCAAAGCGGGUGGUAAACUCCAUCCAAGGCUAAAUACUAGCACGAGUCCGAUAGCGAACAAGUACCGUGAGGGAAAGUUGAAAAGUACUUUGAAGAGAGAGUAAACAGUGCGUGAAACCGUUCAGAGGUAAACAGGUGGAGUUGAACUGCAAGCUCUGAGGAUUCAGCUGGUGAGUAUGGCAUGAGCUUGGUCAUAUUGGUUGUGUGCUCGGGUCUGCUUAGCUGCAGGUCUCCGCUUCGGUGGGGAUGCGCGAAUCACUCAUCAGGUGUUGUGCGCCCGGGUACUGACGGACCUGCUUGCACCUUUUUUUUUUUUAAAAAA
rnacentral:rRNA from 1 species